GUGAAGGCCACCUUCCAAAAGCAGGUUCUCCAGGCCAAAUGUUCGCAACAAUCAUGCACCCUCACAAUAUACACCGGGGCCAACUCUUGACUGCUGUAUCCACCACUGUCCUGUUUUCAAGAAUUGGCUACUGCCUGCACAGAUGAUGAAAGCCUAACAACUUGGAACAUGUCUAGAAAUUCAUUGCAGGCUAUCCAUGUGACUGUAAAGGUUGUGCUAUCUAGAAACUGAAUGCUUCUCUCCAACCACUGUAGUUUAUCCUGUGAUGGCAAACAACUAUUAUAUCUUCAAUGGUUUUGUUCAGGAGGGUCAGAACACUCAAGCGGACCAGCUUGCUUUCAGGACGGUAGAGAUUGAAUAGAAACUGUUUAAUAAACACAGCAGUGAUGAACACGACGUCUAGAGUCCCCAUCAAGACAACUACCUCUAACCAUCAUGAGAACACAGGAUCAUAGAACACGCAUCUUCAG